GGGAGUAUAGCUCAACUGGCAGAGCAACCGCCUUUUAAGCGGUUGGUUCAGGGUUCGAGUCCCUGUGCUCCCA
rnacentral:tRNA from 1 species